ensembl:lncRNA
UGAAGUCUAGUGAGUGCAUGGUCGUUGCUGGCUGUUGCGGAGUCAGUGAUCAACUCUGCAGCGUAAGUGGCAUCUAAAUCUAUGUCAGUAUUUUGAGUAUUAAGGGAUUUUUUAACAAGAACAAUUUCUCAGUGUGUUAGCAUCUUUGAUAUGAAUAGUCUGUGUGGUGGAUGUGAUUGCUGUUCUUUUACCCCCCUCCCCCCACGGCACACAUCCUAUUUCAGCUUAUGGUAAUUGCCUUUAAGAUUUGGUUUCAGCUUGGCAAGCUGCUAGAUCACCUCAAGGUUGUAAAGAACACUUGCCCCCCACCCCUGCCAUUCCCGGGUGCACAGCCCUUGUCUAAUAAUUUAUUUUCCAGGACAGCUCAUUCGACUAGAAAACUGGUGACUAUAUCCUUCAUUUCCAGAGUUGUAUUACCUAAUUUUCUCCUAUCGUCAAAGUCAUUCAGGUGAUUAAUUUUCAAUUAUUCCCUCCAUCCACGGAAGGGAACGGAAUCUUCAUUGAUUCCAUGUAUUCAAUUUAUUGAGCACUUUGCAAGAGCUACUGUCUGUUCUGGGUGCCGGUGAUGGAGGUGGAGAAGAAAGACCAGGGUUGUCUUCAAGGACUUAACAGUCUAGCAGGGGGGACAGGGAUGAAGUGUCGUUGAGUUGGAGUCUAGAUUUACAAGAAGCUAGCCUUUCACUGAUACCGCCUAGGCACUGAUUCUGUGGGGCUGCUACUGGCCUUGAGCUCCAUGGGUUACUAAACCAAGAGACACAUCCAGGGACUUCUUAGUUUUGGCAGUGCCUAGUUUAGGCCUUGCAUAAAUAUGCAAUAAAUAAAACAAAGAGACAGUGUUCUCUAACACAGAACUUGCAAACACAUCUUUUUAACACAAGCGAUUUUUUUUUUCCCAAAACUCUUGAGCAAGAAAACAUACUCUACAAAUCUAGGACUUCUUUUUUUUUAUUAAAGGACACACACACACACACACACACACGCACGCACAUACACACACAACGGAAAGGGAAAAUGUUUUUAUAGCUUGCAGUAGGCCUUAGAGAUUUAAAUACUGAAACCUUCAAUUUGUACCAAUAAUUCAUAUACAGCUAUAUGGGGUGAAAAAGGUUAAUGAUGGAAUUUUUUUUAAAGUAUGUUCCAUUGACUAUAAAUGGCAGAUCUGACAGUUAAAAUGAAAAUUGUUCGAGAAGAAACUUUAGUCAAACUAAUUAUUUGAGACGUUAUAAGGAUAUAUAAUUAUAUUCUUCACCUUUAAAAAAAGUUUUAUUACAAAUGUGCUUUUAAAGAACAAGUAGAGAAAUAAAGGCUGUAAUUGUUCUUAAUUAUAGCUAACUGUAAUUGCACUCAAUUACGAUAUUCUGAAUAUCACCAGUGGCUAAAGAAAUCCUGGCAUACAGACAGUGCACCCACAUUCAUGAGAUGAGGUAUAGCUUUAUGAAUAUUCUGUUAUCUAUAAUUUAGCUCUUUUACUGUUGAUUCCAUUUCUCUUGGUUUUAUUUUCUUUUAUUUUGGUUUUAGUGGAUCGUAGAGAUGUAAUUGUCAUCUGUGAAUGUGGUGAAGGUUGGCGAUUUCAUCGGGGGUUGGUUCAAAAUCCCCAUCAACACAAAAAAGACGCUUUGGCCAUUGUUAGAUGAGACAUUUGGAUGUCACCCACCGUGGCUGAAUACACAGAUUUGAAUUUCUGGAGGUGGUGCUGAAUACCACAUUUAAUGUCCCCAUCAAGGCCCAAGAAGCGACCUGGAAGAUGGGCGAGCUCUCCAGCAGCCUCCCUCCCGCUCUGCGGGUUGCUCUGAGUCGUGUCUCGAGUGGGUCAACUUAAGGGGGGUGAGCCUGUCCCGUGAAUGGGAGGUUUUUCCUCUCCCUCCUCCCAGGAUGCUCAGCCUUCAGAGGGAGCUCUGUGUCUCUGCCUAGACCUGCCUGCCUUGCCUUUACGGUCUGCAGAGCCAGGCGGGGCUCCCUGAGUUGACAGUUUUGUCACAAACUCUUGAACUGGUACCCAUCUGCUCAGGGAGGGGUGAUAGCACCAUCCUGUUUCUCAUCCAGGACUGGAUCAGGGUAGAUAGAAAAAGAAAAACGAAUACACUCUUGGACACUAUUGGAGAGAAGAAGGGAGUGCUUUAGCUUCAGGAGAAAGGGGCAUUUUAUGAUGUAUUUAUUAUGGCCACUGUUCCAAAAAGUGAAAAAUAGAAAACCAACAAAAAAGUAAGAUCCCCCCAGAUCACAUCAGAACAGCCUUUUGAACCCUACAGCCAGUGUCAGCUUUGACAGACUUUCUGGUGCAUUUUUUAAAUUUUAAAAAAAAAAAAAGUGUAUUCUAAUUUAAUUAAAGUAAAAUUUUAAUAAUUAAAAUUCUUUUCUUUUUGAAAUAUUUUUUAUUAAAGUGUAGUUGAUUUAUGGUGUUCUGGUAAUUUCUGCUGGACAGCAAAGUGACCCAGUCAUACACACACAUGCACACACAUGUAUAUCCUAUUCUUUUUUUCAUACUACCUUCCAUCAUGUUCUAACCCGAGAGAUUAAACAUAGUUCCCUGUGCUGUACAGUAGGACCCUAUUCCUUAUCCAUUCUGAAGAUAAUAGUUUACAUCUACUAACCUCAAACUCUCUGUCCCCUCCCCCCUGGCAACCACAGAUCUGCUCUCCAUGUCCAUGAUCUGUUUCUAUUUUGUAGAUAGGAUCAUUUGUGCCAGAUCUUAGAUUCCGCACAUAAGUGUUAUCUCUUUGUGAUAUGAUAUUUGUCUUUCUCUUUCUGACUUACUUCACUUAGUAUGAGAAGCUCUAGUUGUAUCCAUGUUGCUGCAAAUGGCAUUACUUUGUCCUUUUUUAUGGCUGAGUUGUAUUCCAUUAUGUAUAUGCACCACAUCUUCUUAAUCCAUUCAUCUGUCGAUGGACAUUGAGGUUGUUUCCAUGUCUUGGCUGUUGUGAAUUUGUGCUGCACUGAACAUAGGGGUGCAUGUAUCCUUUUGAAUGAACGUUUUGUCUUGAUAUAUGCCCAGGAGUGGGAUUGCUGGAUCACAUGGUAGUUCUAUGUUGAGUUUUCUGAGGAACCUCCCUACUGUUUUCCAGAGUGUUUGUACCAAUUUACAUGCCCACCAAGAGUGUAGGAGGGUUCCCUUUUCUUCUCCAUCAUUUGUUAUUUGUAGAUAGUCGUUCUGACAGGUGCUAGGUGGUACCUCAUACUAGUUUUGAUUUGCAUUUCUGUAAUAAUCAGUGAUGAUGAGCAUUUUUUCAUGUGCUCAUUGGCCAUCUGUAUGUCUUCUUUGGAGAAAUGUCUGUUUAGGUUUUCUGCCCAUUUUUCUAUUGGAUUGUGUGUGGGGGGAUUUGCUAUGAGUUGUAUGAGUUGUUUGUAUAUUUUGAAGAUUAAACCCUUGUUGGACUUAAUCAGUUUUUCAAUUUUCAUAUAUGGCUGCUGUGAGCUUUUAACCCUUUAGCCAGAGUCAAGUUUGACAGAAUUUCUGGUGUAUUUUUUAAAUUAAAAAAUACGUUAAAAUAAAAUUUUAAUAAUUAAAAAAAUUUAAUGCCUUGGCCUGAGCCCCAUUCCUGACUACAGCUUGGAGGCCAGGUCCACACAGAGGGAAGCCAGCUCUAUGAUGGGGCUGUCUUUGUGGCAGAAGUCAUGGCCACUCUGCUCCUUGAAUAGAAUUCCGUUCAUUACGUAGGAUAUUGGGUAGAAACAGACAAGGCCAAGAGGGCUGACCUCCACUUGUCUUCCUCAAAGCCUGACAGCCCCCAGGGCUGGGCAGGGCCUGUCUGUAAGGAGAGAGGAAGUGACCAGACUCUUAGCCAGUCUCCAACCAGGGGUCCAGCUGGUGAAACCCUCUCUCCAUUUUUUCCACUAAGUUGCUCUGUCCCACGUGGAGUUUGACUGGCUGUCAGAAGCCGCCUUCUUCUCUCCCACCCCCCAUCCUCCACGUGCCUUUGGUCCUCUGCUGCCCUCCCCUAGGCCAUCACCCACCCCGGAAAAGCCCAGGACGUCCUGCAAGCUCUCACAUCUACCUUGGCCUGGGCAGUAGCUUUAGUGUUUUAGAUUCCUGGAAAUAGCAGCAUCUCUAAGACAAAAUAUCCUUCUUCUUGCCAAAGCCUGUUUCAUCAGGCAGGACUUUACCGUAGCUCUACUGAUGAGGUUGCUCCGGAUUUGUUUUCCCAGAAACCUCUGCAGAAGAGGGCCUUCAAGAGAUGGGGGCAGAGAAAAGCCCACCCUGCCAUCAUCACCUAGGCAUGCCUGUGUGUGAGCGUUGGUUGCUAUGGCUUUCCCGCCGGAUGGUCAGCCUUGUGAAGGAGGGGUCCGUGUGUAUUCCCUUCCUGCUCCAUCCCCAGCACAGAGAAAGAGGAACAUAGUAGGAGCUGUAGAAAUAUUUGUUGAACAAAUGAAUAAAUAAAUGCUAAUGGUAAAUGCUAAUGAACUCAAUACCCAAACAUGCCGGUUGAUGGAUUAGGCCAUUAGUCAAACAUUACAGUGCAGGCUGGUAUUUGCAAAUCCCUCUUUGAUCCAGAACUUAUCAGGAGUGGGGAUGAUUUUCUCUCAUUAAGAGGCCUUACUGGUGAUAUUAUGUUUCUGGGAGCUCAUAGAGAAAAAUUAGGCUUUUUUGCACAAUGGACCUCCCUUUAAACUGAUUUAUCAAGGAAAAAAAUAUUAUUUUCGCGUAAUAAUUUAGGGGGCAUGUUUUCCCUUAAGAAGCUCACUUAUGAACUGCAAUAAUGCUUUUAGCCCAGUCAUAGCAAUACUAAAUGCUGACACCCCUUCCCCCUGGCAGAGGCAGAGUGUUGGAAGGAAAUCCCCCUUUUUUGUUUCUAUCUGGGGGGAGUGAUGUCAUUUUGUCAACAAAGCUUUAAGAAACACGGCCUUCCGUGGCAUGUCCUGUCCGUGUGGCUUUGCUUUUGCCUUCUGUCUCCUCCGAGAGGACAAGUUGGUAAAUGAAAGGCUCCGUGACUGUCGUCCUGGGCUGGUAUCUUCGCCACUGCUGGAGCCUAAAUAAGUGAGUUUCCAUGAGCAGGAAUGAAUGGCUGAUUCAUAAUUGGAUCACGUCAUUUCACAGUGCUGGAUUCACAGAGCAGGAAAAGGACAAUGAAGAGAUAAAACUUGGAGUUCCUGUUGGGGCUCAGCAGGUUAAGAACCUGACUUAGUAUCCAUGAGGAUGCAGGUUCAACCCCUGGCCCCGCUGAAUGGGUUAAGGAUCCGGUGUUGCCGUGAGCUAGGGUGUAGGUCACAGAUGCAGCUUGGAUCUGGCUGUUGCUGUGGCUGUGGUGUAGGCCAGCAGGGGCAGCUCUGAUUCGACCCCUGGCCUGCGAACUGCCAUAGGCUGCAGUGGACCCUAAAAAGAAAAAAGAGAGAGAGGGAGAGAGAGAAACCUAAUACCACCAGCAAAGUCCAGGACAGCCCUCCUUUUCUCAGGUGCAUUCCUAAGUGUCAAGAUGACAUUGUUUUUGAAAGAAGAGAAAACAAAAGCCCUGAACACAAUCUCCAAAUGAUGGAAGGGACAGGGGUGCUGUUUAACCAUCAGCCGUCCCCACAGAUGCCAGUCAAGGUGCCCUGGUAUCUGUGGCAGAUCUGAUUAGGUAACCCUGGGUGAUUUUGUUCUGGGAGCCCCUGAGCCCAGGAACACAGCCAGGGACAUACAUUUGCAGGUAGUUUAUAUGAGGAAUCCGAAGAUAAAAUGGAGAAAGCCAGAGCCAUGUCUCAUCUUAGGAAGGACUCCAAAUAAGACUGGCUGAGGCAGAAGGAGGCUAGAUGGGUCAGUGAUUAGAUUUUUUUUGCUUUUUAGAGCCACACCUGUGGCGUAUGGAAGUUCUCAGGCUAAGGGUUGAAUCUGAGCUGCAGCUCCCAGCCUACACCACAGCCCCAGCAAUGCCAGAUCUGAGCCUCAUCUGCAGUUUACACUGCAGCUCAUGGCAAUGCUGGAUCCUUAACCCACUGAGCGAGGCCAGGGAGCGAACCCACAUCCUCAUGGAUACUAGUUAGGCUCGUAACCCACUGAGCCACACUCUGGUGAUUAGAUUAACUUAAUCUUAAUGCUGCCAGUCUUCCAACAGCCCACACUGCCUGCCUGACUGCCUGCAGCCAGAUGUGAGUUCUCAUCAGCCCCCAGGAGGACCCCAUUUCCAGAGGCUUGGGGGGGCAGAUGGUCCACCUCUCCACGGGGCUACCACCGUCCUGAGCCAAAUGCCAAAGGGAUAGAAAGAGAAACGCCACCUGGUGGGGGAGAUGUCAUCCCCGUGAGCGAGCGCGGGCUGGACAGGAAGAGCUGGGGGUGGUACCUCAGGAUGCCUGUCUGCAGACGGGUCCCACUUCUGUGGAUGCUGGGGGCUGGUAUUUCAUCCACCUCCUCGCCCGAGUGGAUUGGAGAGGCUGGCCGGCCUCUAGUGAUAUGUUUCGUGUCGAGACCCGCAUUUUCUAAGUGACUGGGUGAGUUUCUCUGAGGGUCUCGUCUCCCCUUCUGGUUUGGCAGUAUUAGGAAGGUACAGAUCCAGACCAACCAGCACUUAUUAAAACCACAGCGCCAUCUAGUAUUGCCAGCUCCCUGCACCGGGUAUGGGGUGAAUAGUUGCUGCCGGAAAGAGGAAUGAAAGGCAAGAGCUGGAAGGAAGAAAGGGACAGAAGAAAUGACGGUGGGAAGCAAGUCAGAAAGAGAAAGACAGACACCAUAUGCUAUCACUUCCAUCUGGAAUCUCAUAUACGGCACAAAUGAACCUUUCCACAGAAAAGAAACUUAUGGACUUGGAGAACCGACUUGUGGUUGCCAAAGGGGAGGGAGUGGGAUGGACUGGGAACGCGGGGUUAAGAGGUGCAGACUGUUGCCUUUGGAAUGGAUAAGCCAUGAGAUCCUGCUGCAUAGCACCGGGAACUGUAUCUAGUCACUUGUGAUGGAGCCUGAUAAUGGGAGCAAAGAGGAUGUAUCCUUGUAUGUGUCACGGGGUCACCAUUGCUGUACAGUAGAAAAUUGACAGAACACCGUAAAUCACCGAUAAUGGAAAAAAAUUAAAAAAAAAAA